UUUUCUUACUGGACCAAUGAGGCCGAAGAGCUGCUCAAAGGGGCACUGGAGCCAGUGUACAGGGUCUCAAAGAAGCAAAAGACAGAACAUGAGGUCCAGUUUCAAAAGUCCGACAUGUGCUUCAUAUUGGAGCUGCCAAACUGUCUUCUCUCGGAC